rnacentral:rRNA from 1 species
GGAGUGGAUUAGCAUGCUAGACAGAGGGCAGUUCGGCUGCCCUGCGAAAAGCUCAGUAACACGUGGUCAAUCUACCCUUAGGAUUGAGACACCCCGGGAAACUGGGGAUAAUCUCGAAUAGGCGGGGGUUCUGGAAUGUCCCUCGCUGAAAUGUUUUGGCGCCUAAGGAUGAGACUGCGGCCUAUUAGGUAGUUGGUGAGGUAAAGGCUCACCAAGCCACAGAUGAGUACGGGCCCUGAGAGGGGGAGCCCGGAGAUGGGGACUGAGACAAGGCCCCAGGCCCUACGGGGCGCAGCAGGUGCGGAAAUUCUGCAAUGCGUGGAAGCGCGACAGAGUGACUCCCAGUGCCGAUGGUCUACCGACCGUCGGCUUUUCUGGAAUGUAAAUAGUUUUAGGUAAUAAGGGCCGGGUAAGACUGGUGCCAGCCGCCGCGGUAACACCAGCGGCCCGAGUGGUAGCCGAUUUUAUUGGGCUUAAAGUGUCCGUAGCCGGGUUGUCAAGUUCUUUGUGAAAUCGAGCGGCUUAACCGCUCGGCUUGCAAGGAAAACUGAUGACCUUGGGACCGGUAGGCGCUGAGGGUACUCCAGGGGUAGCGGUGAAAUGCUAUAAUCCCUGGGGGACCGCCAGUGGCGAAAGCGCUCUGCGAUGCCGGAUCCGACGGUGAGGGACGAAAGCCAGGGGAGCAAACCGGAUUAGAUACCCGGGUAGUCCUGGCCGCAAAGGAUGUGGGCUAGGUGCUUGGCGUUCCUCGAGAACGUUAGGUGCCGAAGGAAAACCGUUAAGCUCACCGCCUGGGAAGUAUGGCCGCAAGGCUUAAACUUAAAGAAAUUGGCGGGGGAGCACCACAAGGGGUGGAGCCUGCGGUUUAAUUGGAUUUCACGCCGGACAUCUCACCGGGGGCGACGGCAGAAUGAAGGCCAAGUUGACGACUUUGCCGGGACCCGCCGAGAGUGGUGCAUGG